rnacentral:misc_RNA from 1 species
GAUGAAGAACGCAGCGAAAUGCGAUACUUGGUGUGAAUUGCAGAAUCCCGUGAACCAUCGAGUCUUUGAACGCAAGUUGCGCCCGAAGCCAUCAGGUUGAGGGCACGUCUGCCUGGGCGUCACAUAUCGUUGCCCAAUGCCUAUUGCAGUGCAAUAGGAAUUUGUAGGGCGAAUGAUGGCUUCCCGUGAGCGUUGUUGCCUCGCGGUUGGUUGAAAAUCGAGUCCUUGGUAGGGUGUGCCAUGGUAGAUGGUGUUCGAGUUAGAACGAUACCGAUCAUGUGCAUGCUCCCCAAAAUAUGGCCUCUAUGACCCACACGCGUCUUUUGACGCUCAUGACGAGACCUCAGGUCAGGCGGGGCUACCCGCUGAAUUUAAGCAUAUCAAUAAGCGGAGGA